rnacentral:lncRNA from 1 species
GUUGACUAAGUAUCCCCUAAGUCUUAUGAGAAAUGCGUCUUAGGGUAAGGAAUGCGGCUUAGGGUGACUUUGUGUUUCCAAUGCCUGCGAGGAUGUGUUGCUUAUGUGACACUUGGAAUUGACUGAUCAUGAAUCCCGAGUACGCCUAGGUGGAGAAUAUUUUGGUUUUAAGAUGUUUAAACUAAAAUUGAUGAUAUUAUUUUUUUAUUUUUGAGUAGUAAAAGUUUUGAUGUCUAUUUUCUGAUUUUAUGAAACAAGGAUUAGAGGUUUCCAAGUUCUAAAGAUUUUCUAUAAUUCAUAUCUACUCUUUUAAGUGAUGUGUCUGUUAUUAUAUGUGGAAGAUAGAAGCAUGUUUUAUUCAAACUGUUGACAGCGAUAUUAAAGUUUUACUUGACCGAAAGGUAUUUUAGUAACUUUUUCGUUUUCAUACAUAUCUGGGUUCUUUUUGCACAUAUGUGAGUGGGCGAAAGAUUGUUCUUAAAUCAAAAAUCUUUUGUACGUUUUUCAGAGGAUUAGUUAGAGUUGAAGUUUUGGUUAGGGAAGUAUGAAAUAACUACAUAUGGCUUAAUCCCUGAGUAAGGGUACAUAGGCACCUAGAGUUACUAGGUGCAGCCACAAGAUCAAGUGUAUGAAAAUUUGUUCAGUUAAGUUAUUCUGGGAUUUGAUAACGUUUUCAUGUUAUUCUAAGAGUUGAGACCAGUUUCAGAUGGCAGAAUGAUUUAUUUGGUAUAAGAGGCUUGAGGCCAUUCAAAGUUAUUUAUUUGAUGCAUGCUGAACGAUUGUGGCUAUGAGUUGCAUUUUAUAUAGGUUAAAAUUUUGGGAAAUGAGUGAAUUAUAGGGGAGACUCUGCCGAAAUUUCGGUAAAAGUCAAACCGAAAAAGAAAUUUGAGUCUUAGUAGAAGGGCAAUUUGGUUAAGUGUGCCCAGCACCUGCCAAGUGUUGGACACGCAUAGGGUUCGACUCAGAUUUCAAAGUGGAAUUUGAGUCAGGUCCUGUCAGCUAGAGGUUCUCGUUUUUUUAUAUUUAAAAAUAGUACAGCCGGACGGCUAUACUCAGUUUUUUUAAUUUUUUUCUCAAAAGUAUAGCCGAAUAGCUAUAUUAUUUUACACAUGCCCCGAGGUUUUUUUUUUGUAAAUAGUAUAGCCCUGUGGCUACACUAGUUUACACGUGGCGCCGAUUUUUUUUUG